AACAGCUGCGGUAUUAUAACUGUACUAAGGUAGCAUAAUAAUUUGCUCUAUAAAUUGGGGCUAGAAUGAAUGGUUUGACGAAAAUUUGACUGUCUCUAUCUUAUUUAUUAGAAAUUAAUUUUUGUAGUGAGAAAGCUUAAAUUAUUUAAAGGGACGAAAAGACCCUAUUGAGCUUAUAUUAUUUAAUAAAUUAUAUGAUUGUUGUUUGUUUGAAUUAAUUUUGAUUGGGGUGAUCAAGGAAUAAAUUUUAUUUAAUUUAACUUCCUUAGUUAAUUGUUCUAUGGAAGAAUAAACCAAAGUUUUUGCUUAGAAGAUAAGUUACCAUAGGGAUAACAGCGUAAUUUUUUUUGAGAGUUCAUAUUGAAAAAAGAGAUUGCGACCUCGAUGUUGGAUUAAAAUUAACCUUAAGGUGAAGAGGCUUUAUUAGGUAAAUCUGUUCGAUUUUUAAAAUUUU
rnacentral:rRNA from 1 species